rnacentral:rRNA from 1 species
AUUGAACGCUGGCGGCAUGCCUUACACAUGCAAGUCGAACGGUAACAGGUCUUCGGAUGCCGACGAGUGGCGAACGGGUGAGUAAUACAUCGGAACGUGCCCGAGAGUGGGGGAUAACGAAGCGAAAGCUUUGCUAAUACCGCAUACGAUCUCAGGAUGAAAGCAGGGGACCGCAAGGCCUUGCGCUCACGCAGCGGCCGAUGGCAGAUUAGGUAGUGGGUGGGAUAAAAGCUUACCAAGCCGACGAUCUGUAGCUGGUCUGAGAGGACGACCAGCCACACUGGGACUGAGACACGGCCCAGACUCCUACGGGAGGCAGCAGUGGGGAAUUUUGGACAAUGGGCGCAAGCCUGAUCCAGCCAUGCCGCGUGCAGGAUGAAGGCCUUCGGGUUGUAAACUGCUUUUGUACGGAACGAAAAGACUCUGGUUAAUACCUGGGGUUCAUGACGGUACCGUAAGAAUAAGCACCGGCUAACUACGUGCCAGCCGCCGCAGUAA